UACGUAGGGUGCAAGCGUUAUCCGGAAUUAUUGGGCGUAAAGAGCUCGUAGGCGGUUUGUUGCGUCUGCUGUGAAAACCCGAGGCUCAACCUCGGGCCUGCAGUGGGGUACGGGCAAACUAGAGUGCGGUAGGGGAGAUUGGAAUUCCUGGUGUAGCGGUGGAAUGCGCAGAUAUCAGGAGGAACACCGAUGGCGAAGGCAGAUCUCUGGGCCGUAACUGACGCUGAGGAGCGAAAGCAUGGGGAGCGAACAGG
rnacentral:rRNA from 1 species